AACGAACGCUGGCGGCGUGCCUAAUACAUGCAAGUCGAGCGAAUGGAUUAAGAGCUUGCUCUUAUGAAGUUAGCGGCGGACGGGUGAGUAACACGUGGGUAACCUGCCCAUAAGACUGGGAUAACUCCGGGAAACCGGGGCUAAUACCGGAUAACAUUUUGAACCGCAUGGUUCGAAAUUGAAAGGCGGCUUCGGCUGUCACUUAUGGAUGGACCCGCGUCGCAUUAGCUAGUUGGUGAGGUAACGGCUCACCAAGGCAACGAUGCGUAGCCGACCUGAGAGGGUGAUCGGCCACACUGGGACUGCGACACGGCCCAGACUCCUACGGGAGGCAGCAGUAGGGAAUCUUCCGCAAUGGACGAAAGUCUGACGGAGCAACGCCGCGUGAGUGAUGAAGGCUUUCGGGUCGUAAAACUCUGUUGUUAGGGAAGAACAAGUGCUAGUUGAAUAAGCUGGCACCUUGACGGUACCUAACCUGAAAGCCACGGCUAACUACGUGCCAGCCGCCGCAGUAA
rnacentral:rRNA from 1 species